AGAUUAAGUAAAACAACUUACUAGGAAGAAGGCCUUGAUAUCAUUCCUUGUUAACCUCACUUCAGCGUUUUCAUUUCUAUACACUUGUAAUAGGAUAUCCAUCAUAUCUCCUUGACAAUCCUCAGUGUUUAUUCUCUCUUCAUGUUCCUUCAAGAAACCUUCCAAAAUCUUGUCAAAUUCCCCCACUAUUUUCCUAAGCUUUUUCCCAUAACCAAACAAGUCAAACUUCCCCAAAGGCCCAAGCACUUCACCCAUACUCAAUUUAGCUCCUACAUGCAUAAACUCCCUAACCAAACAUUGAAUAACCUCAGGAUCAAUAUUAUAUUUUUUGAAACAUGUGGUUCCCAUGCUCAUACGACACAAGAUGUUAUUGGUCAAAGUAGUAAAGUCCAAACCCAAAUCCGUUGACCUAUUUUCAUUAGAGCAUAUCAAAAGAGAUUUCAAGAGUUUCUCUAAUUCUUGCUCUCUAAUAUGCAUGAAGCGACCAAGUUGAGAGCUAGAGAGUAAUUUAGUAACGCAUAUUUUUUUCAUGAAUCUCCAAUAUGGACCAUAUGGGGCAGUGAUGAAAUAAGACCCUUUGUAUAAGUAAUCAUGAGAGGAUCCAAAUUGGGGUCGGUAGCUAAAAUUAAGGUCAUGUGUUUUCAUGACUUGUUUGGCAACUUGUGCAUUGGAGACAACUAUAGAAGUUGAUGCACCUAGAUUGAGCUGAAUUAAGGGACCAUAUUGGUGAGAAAGUGUUUGGAAUGAUUUUGGUAUGACUGAGCCUAUAUGGUGAAGGUGGCCUAUUAUUGGUAGUGAUCUUGGACUUGGUGGGGGUCUAAAUUUGGAGCUACCAUUUGUGGUUCGUUUAUUGUUGACAAGUAAUGUGAAAAUUAGCAAAGCUAGAAAGGAGAAGAUGUAGAAGAAAAUAGUAGCACCAUCAAAAGCCAUGGCUUAAUUUAGGGCCAAAUGACUUGUUUCUUUUUCUUUGAGUUAAUUAAAAGCUUACAGUUACAAGAUGCAAAACAUCUAUUAUGUGAUGUCUUACUUAUAUUAUUGAAUCAGCUGCUUUUUUAAUCAAUAAAAAUAGAAUCCCAAAUUGCUUAAUCAUACCAUAAAAUUG
rnacentral:lncRNA from 1 species